rfam:Salmo salar isolate Sally breed double haploid chromosome ssa06, whole genome shotgun sequence.
UGCAUUCAUUACUGUAAGUCACUCUGGAUAAGAGCGUCUGCUAAAUGACUAAAA